rnacentral:rRNA from 1 species
UACGUAGGCAGCGAGCGUUGUUCGGAAUUACUGGGCGUAAAGAGUGUGUAGGCGGUGCUCCAAGUCUGGUGUGAAAUCUCCCGGCUUAACUGGGAGGGUGCAUUAGAAACUGGAAUGCUAGAGGAUGGGAGAGGUAAGCGGAAUUCCUGGUGUAGCGGUGAAAUGCGUAGAUAUCAGGAGGAACACCUGUGGUGUAGACAGCUUACUGGACCAUUUCUGACGCUGAGACACGAAAGCGUGGGUAGCAAACAGG